AACGCACCUUGCGCUCCUUGGUAUUCCGAGGAGCAUGCCUGUUUGAGUGUCUUGAAAUCAUCAAACCCCUCCGGUUUCUGCCGGAGUGGGUUUGGACUUGGGGGCUUUUGCUGCCUUCUGGCGGCUCCCCUUAAAUGAAUCGGUCGGGCUUUCGCGUGGCUUGUCCCUUGGCGUUGUAUCAACCUCGUCGCUGGAUGGCUCGCGAGUUUUGCGCCCCUCCAAGACCAGCCUCUGGAGCGGCGGUCAACUUCAAUUUUUGAUCUGACCUCAAAUCAGGUAGGACUACCCGCUGAACUUAA
rnacentral:misc_RNA from 1 species